rnacentral:tRNA from 1 species
AAUAAAAUGCCUGAUAAAAGGAUUGUUUUGAUAGAACAAAUUAUGUGUAAAUACACUUUUAUUA